rnacentral:rRNA from 1 species
UACGUAGGGUGCAAGCGUUAAUCGGAAUUACUGGGCGUAAAGCGUGCGCAGGCGGUUUUGUAAGUCUGUCGUGAAAGCCCCGGGCUCAACCUGGGAAUUGCGAUGGAGACUGCAAGGCUUGAAUCUGGCAGAGGGGGGUAGAAUUCCACGUGUAGCAGUGAAAUGCGUAGAGAUGUGGAGGAACACCGCUGGCGAAGGCAGCCCCCUGGGUCAAGAUUGACGCUCAUGCACGAAAGCGUGGGGAGCAAACAGG